rnacentral:rRNA from 1 species
UCGAGAGGCUUCGGCAAUGGGGGCAACCCUGACCGAGCGACGUCGCGUGGGUGAUGAAGGUCCUUGGACCGUAAAACCCUGUCAGGUGGGAAGAAACUCCAUUCGGUUAAUACCCGAGUGGCCUGACGGUACCACCAGAGGAAGCUCCGGCUAACUCCGUGCCAGCAGCCGCGGUAACACGGGGGGAGCAAGCGUUGUUCGGAUUUAUUGGGCGUAAAGAGCUCGUAGGUGGCUCCGUAAGUCAGUGGUGAAAUACAACGGCUCAACCGUUGGAACGCCUCUGAAACUACAGAGCUUGAGGUCGGGAGAGGAAAGUGGAAUUCCUGGAGUAGCGGUGAAAUGCGUAGAUAUCAGGAGGAACACCAGUGGCGAAGGCGACUUUCUGGACCGAUUCUGACACUGAGGAGCGAAAGCUAGGGGAGCGAACAGGAUUAGAUACCCUGGUAGUCCUAGCCGUAAACGAUGGGCACUAGGUGUGGGAGGAUCGACCCCUUCCGUGCCGCAGUUAACGCAUUAAGUGCCCCGCCUGGGGAGUACGACCGCAAGGUUG